UACGUAGGGUGCAAGCGUUAAUCGGAAUUACUGGGCGUAAAGCGUGCGCAGGCGGUUGUGCAAGACAGAGGUGAAAUCCCCGGGCUUAACCUGGGAAUGGCCUUUGUGACUGCACGGCUAGAGUGUGUCAGAGGGGGGUAGAAUUCCACGUGUAGCAGUGAAAUGCGUAGAGAUGUGGAGGAAUACCGAUGGCGAAGGCAGCCCCCUGGGAUAACACUG
rnacentral:rRNA from 1 species